CAGGGCGUAGUUCUAACCUCCAAAACUCCUCAUUUACACCGAGACAAUACUCGUGAAAGUCGAGUCGCCCUG
rnacentral:tRNA from 1 species